GCCGGGUUACGGUGCCCAACU
rnacentral:siRNA from 1 species